rnacentral:rRNA from 1 species
AAUGAACGUUGGCGGCGUGGAUUAGGCAUGCAAGUCGUGCGAGAAACCUUAAUUUGAAGCUUCGGCUGAUUACUGGGGUGGACAGCGGCGAAAGGGAGAGUAACGCGUGGAUACCUGCCCCUGGAUUCAGGAUAGCUGCGGGAAACUGCAGGUAAUACUGGAUAAUGUCUCCGGACCAAAGGUGCAAUUCCGUCCGGGGAUGGGUCCGCGUCCUAUUAGCUUGUUGGUGGGGUAAUGGCUUACCAAGGCAAAGAUGGGUACCGGGUGUGAGAGCAUGGCCCGGCUCACUGGGACUGAGACACUGCCCAGACACCUACGGGUGGCUGCAGUCGAGAAUCUUCCGCAAUGGGCGAAAGCCUGACGGAGCAACGCCGCGUGCGGGAUGAAGGCCUUCGGGUUGUAAACCGCUGUCAGUAGGGAGGAAAUGCAUAAGGGUUCUCUCUUAUGUUUGACCGAUCUUCAGAGGAAGUCCGGGCUAAGUUCGUG